UUUUGUUUUUUUUUUUUUUUUUUUUUUUUGCUGUUUACAAAGGUGUCCUUUUCUCUCCCCAUGAUACUUCACAGUUCAACCCAAUGGAAAUGGAUUGAAAGAGUGAAAGUCACUGGUCUCAAAGAAUCUACGGAAUUUAGCAUUUUGAAAAUCACAUAGCAAUUUUGGGUAGGUAUUCACCUGCACUAAAAAACCAGGCAAACAUCCGACUCCCAGGAUAAAGUGACUGAGAGCAGUAGAAGACUUGUUGAGCCUUAAGGAAUAAGAGGAAAAUUACGUUAUGAAGUGCAGGAACAGCACAGACCCAGACGAGGGGACGCAGCCCGGAGCCAGUAACCCGGCGCCACCUCCUCCCCAGGGCGCAGCGCUGGCUGAUCCCCAGAUACCGUGAUCACACGUCCCGGGUCCUGAGAGCGCCUCAUAGGUAGACAGUUCUUUGGGACUUCUGGGAUGCAGCACUUGAAGAGAGGUUUACCUAAACUUUCCUCCUGGGAGCCUGUGAUCAUUUGAAAGUAACAGAAGAAAGUUGUCAGGCUGAGGAAAGUUUCAACAGGCACUUGGUGAGAAUGGGAAGCAUCCAUUCAUUGUGAAAUCGCGGGGACAGAGGAGGAAUUCACGGGAUCAGAGCACUGAGAAACUCCAGAGGCUUCUGGUUCACCGCCCUGAUUCCACAGAUGUGGGUCAGAGGCAGAGAUGGAAGUUGGAAUGGACAAGCCUGCCCUCUCCUUGGCUCUCCAUGGCUCUGUCCUCAGGCUGUUUCUGCAAUUUGACAUGAGGCCUGGCCCCAGGGAAACCAGUGGGGCCUCAUCUCCUCCCUGUGCUGCUCUGAGGUGGAGCCUUCUCAGGGUCAGUCCAGCUCUGGAGCCCCUCUCCAGCUCGGUCACCAAAGCUGUCUGGUCCCAGGGCGGUGCUGAGUGACAGGCAUGCCAGCCAAUCCAAUCGGCAAUUUCAUAUCCAAUGCAUGUGACUGAUAAAGAGAUAACGCCCUGUCUCCAAGACACAGGCUUUACAUAAACAGCUUUAAUGACUUCUUCACUUAGAGACAAGACUCCUUAGUGGUGGAACCUCAGGCAUCCGUGCAGGACGUAAGAAAGCUGCCGUAUAUACAUGAACUGAGAAGUGUGUAGAAGAAUAAAUACUGUAAUAGGUAAUAAAAUGUAUGUAUUUUUAUUUAUGUGCUA
ensembl:lncRNA GUSBP1 GUSB pseudogene 1